UACGUAGGGUGCGAGCGUUGUCCGGAUUUAUUGGGCGUAAAGAGCGUGUAGGCGGCCUGGCAAGUCCGCUGUGAAAACUCGAGGCUUAACCUCGAGACGUCGGUGGAAACUGCCUGGCUAGAGUCCGGAAGAGGAGAGUGGAAUUCCUGGUGUAGCGGUGAAAUGCGCAGAUAUCAGGAAGAACACCCGUGGCUAAGGCGGCUCUCUAGUACGGUACUGACGCUGAGACGCGAAAGCGUGGGGAGCGAACAGG
rnacentral:rRNA from 1 species